GUCAGGAUAGCUCAGUUGGUAGAGCAAAGGACUGAAAAUCC
rnacentral:tRNA from 1 species